ACACCCCUCAAGCCCGGCUUGUUGUUGGACCCUGCCCCUAACCCGGCUGGUCCCAAACGUAAUGACGGCGUCCACGGGGACCCUCAGUGCAACGAGCUUUUCACGAAGCACGCACCGAGUUGCAAGGUCUCCGCGGCACGGUCGACACCUUUUAUUUUCUAA
rnacentral:misc_RNA from 1 species